rnacentral:rRNA from 1 species
UACGUAGGGUGCGAGCGUUAAUCGGAAUUACUGGGCGUAAAGCGUGCGCAGGCGGCGCGUUAAGACAGGUGUGAAAGCCCCGAGCUUAACUUGGGAAUUGCGCUUGUGACUGGCGAGCUGGAGUGUGGCAGAGGGAGGUGGAAUUCCACGUGUAGCAGUGAAAUGCGUAGAGAUGUGGAGGAACACCGAUGGCGAAGGCAGCCUCCUGGGCCAGCACUGACGCUCAUGCACGAAAGCGUGGGGAGCGAAACAAGGAUUGAGAA